rnacentral:rRNA from 1 species
AUGAACCUGUCGCAGAGCCUCCUCCUGCGCCCGUCCCCGGCCGGCGGCCAGCACGGCCUCCUCCACCUGGUGGACUCCUGCCGUGCCGCCGCCCACCUGCCCACCCUCCGCGCCGUGCACGCGCGCCUACUGCUCCUCCAGCACCUCCCCUCCUCCGCCGUCGCCCGCGUCAAGCUCAUCCAGGCCUACGCCGCCUGCUCCGCGCUCCCCGCCGCCAGCGCCGUGCUCACCUCCUCCCCCGAUCGCACCACCGUCUUCUUCAACGUCCUCCUCCGCGCGCUCACGGCCGCAUCCCUCCACCGCGAGGCACUCCUCCUCUUCGCCUCUAUGCGGCCGCAGGGCCCCUCCUGCUCCCCGGACCACUACACCUACCCGCUCGCUCUCAAAUCCUGCGCAGCCUCGGGUAGCCUACGUCUGGGUGUCCAGAUCCAUGCGUCCAUUGCCAGGCUCGGUCUCGACGCGAAUCUCUUCGUGGCGCACUCGGCGAUCAGCAUGUAUGCGCGGUGCGGCCGUCCGGACGAUGCUUACCAGGUGUUCGAUGAAAUGCAGCACCGGGAUGUCGUCUCUUGGAACGCCAUGAUCUCUGGGUUCGCUCACGCAGGCUUGUUUCAGAGAGCCGUGAUAAUUUUCAGGGAGUUGGUGGGGCUGCAGUGUCCACAGCCUGAUGCUGGGACCAUGGCAAGCAUCCUGCCCGCCAUGGGUAAUGCCAAGGCAGAGGACAUCGCAUUUGUGAGGGAAGUGUUUGAUAAGAUGCAGUUCAGAGGACUUAUUUCUUGGAAUGCUAUGCUGUCUAUAUAUGCUAUCAAUGGACUGCAUGUUAAGGCUGUGGAGCUGUUCAUGAGGAUGGAGAAGGAUGCGGUUGAGCCAGAUGGGAUGACAUUAUCAACUGUUCUUCCUUGUUGCGGACAGGUCUCAGCAUUUUCACUGGGGAAACGAAUCCAUGAAAUUAUCAAGAGGAAAGGAAUGUGCCCCAAUAUGUUGCUGGAAAAUGCUCUCAUGGACAUGUACGCCAACUGUGGAUGCUUGAACGAUGCCAGGGAGGUAUUUGAUGCCAUGGGUUCGCGGGAUGUAGUAUCAUGGACUUCGAUCAUUUCUGCAUACGGUGUGCGUGGUCAUGGGACGGAAGCCAUCAAUCUGUUUGAGAACAUGCUAGGACAGGGCCUGCAACCGGAUUCUAUUGCCUUUGUUGCUGUUCUUGCAGCGUGUAGCCAUGCAGGCCUCUUGGAUGUUGGAAAGCACUAUUUUGAUUGCAUGACUAGUAGAUAUCAGAUAACCCCAAAAGCAGAGCACUAUACAUGUAUGGUGGAUCUUCUCGGGCGUGCUGGGUGUAUAAGGGAGGCAUAUGAUUUCAUUAUGGCGAUGCGUAUGAAGCCAAAUGAAAGAGUCUGGGGAGCCUUAUUAGGAGCUUGUCGGAUUCACUCCAAUAUGGACAUUGGGUUGUUGGCAGCAGACAGUUUGUUCAGAAUGGUGCCCGACCAGACGGGAUACUAUGUGCUAUUAUCAAAUAUUUAUGCUAGGACUGGACGAUGGGCAGAUGUUACCUCGGUGAGAAGUGUCAUGGCAAGCAAAGGUAUCAAGAAAUUGCCUGGUGCUAGCAAUGUUGAGAUAGGAGAUCAGGUUCACACAUUUCAUGUUGGUGAUAGAUCUCAUCCACAAUCAGAAAUGAUCUACAAAAAGUUGGAAGAGUUGUUAGGAAGGAUCAGGGGAAUGGGUUAUAACCCAGGAGUCGAGGGUACACUUCAUGAUGUUGAAGAGGAAGAGAAGGAGGGCCAUCUUUCAGUGCACAGUGAAAAAUUGGCUAUUGCGUUUGUUCUUAUAAACACUAGUCCAGGGACACCCAUUAGAAUAACAAUGAAUCUCAGAACGUGUAGUGAUUGCCAUCAUGCUGCAAAACUCAUUUCAGCUAUCACAGAUAGAGAGAUUAUCCUUAAAGACAUCAACAGGUUCCACCAUAUAGUACAAGGAGUGUGCUCAUGUGGGGACUAUUGGUAA